UACGGAGAGGGCUAGCGGUCUCAGGAAUUAUUGGGCGUAAAGGGCGCGUAGGCUGGUUAAUAAGUUAAAAGUGAAAUCCCGAGGCUUAACCUUGGAAUUGCUUUUAAAACUAUUAAUCUAGAGAUUGAAAGAGGAUAGAGGAAUUCCUGAUGUAGAGGUAAAAUUCGUAAAUAUUAGGAGGAACACCAGUGGCGAAGGCGUCUAUCUGGUUCAAAUCUGACGCUGAAGCGCGAAGGCGUGGGGAGCAAACAGGAUUAGAUACCCUGGUAGUCCACGCUGUAAACGAUGAGUGCUAA
rnacentral:rRNA from 1 species